rnacentral:rRNA from 1 species
GACGAACGCUGGCGGCGUGCUUAACACAUGCAAGUCGAACGCUGAAGCUCAGCUUUUGUUGGGUGGAUGAGUGGCGAACGGGUGAGUAACACGUGAGUAACCUGCCCCCUUCUUUGGGAUAACGCCCGGAAACGGGUGCUAAUACUGGAUAUUCACUGGUCUUCGCAUGGGGGUUGGUGGAAAGGGUUUUUCUGGUGGGGGAUGGGCUCGCGGCCUAUCGGCUUGUUGGUGGGGUGAUGGCCUACCAAGGCUUUGACGGGUAGCCGGCCUGAGAGGGUGACCGGUCACAUUGGGACUGAGAUACGGCCCAGACUCCUACGGGAGGCAGCAGUGGGGAAUAUUGCACAAUGGGCGCAAGCCUGAUGCAGCGACGCCGCGUGAGGGAUGGAGGCCUUCGGGUUGUGAACCUCUUUCGCUCAUGGUCAAGCCGCAACAAUGGUUGUGGUGAGGGUAGUGGGUAAAGAAGCGCCGGCUAACUACGUG